rnacentral:tRNA from 1 species
AGUAGAUAGUUUAAGAAAAAUUUUAAUUUUGGAGAUUAAAGAUAGGAUAUUUCCCUUCUUCUGAA